rnacentral:lncRNA from 1 species
GAAAAAGAUAGCAAAUAAAUUUGAGUCCCCUCAUGGUUUAAACACAUCAUUGUAGUCUAAUUUAAGAUGGACAGAUCAAAUCAUGCACAAAUAAUGUGUGAAAAUUUUUGAUUUGAAUUACAAUGUUGCCUGAUUGCAGAGGUUUGAUUUCAAACAUUUUUGUCACAAUUUUAACUUAAGAUAAGCCUGCGCCCUCUCCUGCUCCAGCUCCCUCUCCUGCUGCAGCUCCCUCUCCUGCUCCAGCUCCCUUGCCUUCUCCAGCUCCCUCGCCUUCUCCUGCCCCCUCGUCUUCUCCUGCUCCCUCACCUGCUCCACGGAGUGAUGCCUCGGGCCCCACUGCAGCCAGACCAAAAGGUAUUGAAAAGAAAUAUUAACCAUAUAUUCAAUGAAAUUGCUCAAGGUCAAAUUCACAGAAAUUAUUACAAAUAGUAACCGAUUAGUUUUUUUUUUAUGACAGGGAGGAAGAGGAGGACGUCUCCCACUUCCAGGUUGGAAGACAUCGAGGAGCUCCUCUUUCAGGCCCUGCAGAGGCAACAAGACGCACCUCCACCACCACCACCCGCAUCUUGCCCAUCAGAAGAC